UGAGGGAAAGGCGAAAAGAACCCCGGCGAGGGGAGUGAAAAAGAACCUGAAACCGUGUACGUACAAGCAGUGGGAGCCCCACCACUAAGCCAGUGGUGAACUCCACAUACGCAUCCUUUGCUGAGGAUACGGUUAACGGAGCGAAAGCGACGUUCAACCUCAAAAGAAGCAGAGGGGGCUUAGUGGUGGGGUGACUGCGUACCUUUUGUAUAAUGGGUCAGCGACUUAUAUUCUGUAGCAAGGUUAACCGCAUAGGGGAGCCGUAGGGAAACCGAGUCUUAAUUGGGCGUUAAGUUGCAGGGUAUAGACCCGAAACCCGGUGAUCUAGCCAUGGGCAGGUUGAAGGUUGGGUAACACUAACUGGAGGACCGAACCGACUAAUGUUGAAAAAUUAGCGGAUGACCUGUGGCUGGGGGUGAAAGGCCAAUCAAACCGGGAGAUAGCUGGUUCUCCCCGAAAGCUAUUUAGGUAGCGCCUCGUGAAUUCAUCUCCGGGGGUAGAGCACUGUUUCGGCUAGGGGGCCAUCCCGGCUUACCAACCCGAUGCAAACUGCGAAUACCGGAGAAUGUUAUCACGGGAGACACACGGCGGGUGCUAACGUCCGUCGUGAAGAGGGAAACAACCCAGACCGCCAGCUAAGGUCCCAAAGUCAUGGUUAAGUGGGAAACGAUGUGGGAAGGCCCAGACAGCCAGGAUGUUGGCUUAGAAGCAGCCAUCAUUUAAAGAAAGCGUAAUAGCUCACUGGUCGAGUCGGCCUGCGCGGAAGAUGUAACGGGGCUAAACCAUGCACCGAAGCUGCGGCAGCGACGCUGAUGCGUUGUUGGGUAGGGGAGCGUUCUGUAAGCCUGUGAAGGUGGCCUGUGAGGGUUGCUGGAGGUAUCAGAAGUGCGAAUGCUGACAUAAGUAACGAUAAAGCGGGUGAAAAGCCCGCUCGCCGGAAGACCAAGGGUUCCUGUCCAACGUUAAUCGGGGCAGGGUGAGUCGACCCCUAAGGCGAGGCCGAAAGGCGUAGUCGAUGGGAAACGGGUUAAUAUUCCCGUACUUGGUGUUACUGCGAAGGGGGGACGGAGAAGGCUAUGUUGGCCGGGCGACGGUUGUCCCGGUUUAAGCGUGUAGGUGUGUGUUCCAGGUAAAUCCGGUUCACUUUAACACUGAGGCGUGACGACGAGGCACUACGGUGCUGAAGCAACAAAUGCCCUGCUUCCAGGAAAAGCCUCUAAGCAUCAGGUAACAUCAAAUC
rnacentral:rRNA from 1 species